rnacentral:lncRNA from 1 species
AUCAUACAUCAUACAUAGUAUUAAAGUUCGAAACCAAUGUUUAGAUGUUCGGAUGUUCAGAAAGUGACGUCACCCAAAUUUUUUUUUCUCUUGACGUCAUUCAUCUAAAAUCAGCUAGUCAAAUUCGUCAGUCUGGAAACGAACGCGCAGUAAAGCGGACGUAUGAAAAUCGCGCUCCGCAGGUUUCGAGUAACGGGUUCUCUACCUCCUGGAUCCGGCGCUCCGGAUCCGCUACCUGGUGAAACUCGCCUUCCAGAACAAGCGCUCCGUAGUUCUGGCUGUCCAGGUUCUCCACCUAGUGGAUUUUGACAUCCAGGAAAAGCGCUCCGUAGUUCUGGCUGUCCAGGUUCUUGGCCUGGUGACUUUUGACCAAGUGCUGCGUAGUUUCUGCGUUCCAGGUCCACUAACUGCUGGAACUCGAGCCCCAGGACAAGCGCUCCGUAGUUUCUGCGCUCCAGGUCCGCUAUCCAGUGAAACUCGACUUCCAGGAGAAGCGCUCCGUAGCUCCUGCGCUCUAGAUCCGCUACUUGGUGAAACUCGACUUCCAAGACAAGCGCUCCGUAGUUUCUGCGCUCGAGGUCCACUACCUGGUGAAACCCGACUUCGAGAACAGACGCUGCGUAGCUCUGGCUAUCCAGGUCCUUGACCUGGUGACUUUUGACCUUCAAGACUAAUUUUCCGUAGUUCUGACUGUCCAGGUCCUUGACCUGAUGACUCUUGACCUUCCGGACUGAUUUUCAAGUUUACAAGUUUAAUUAUCGAAAACGUCACGUUUUUUACUAUCAAACCAAUAUGCAUGUUACAGAUAACAUUUUGAAUCGGAAAAAAAACCGAAUGACCAGGAUCAACAAAUUGCAAUUGCAUUAUAUAGAAAAAAUCACAUGGACAGAGACAGUGUUCAUUCUGUAUACUGUGAAGCGAAUGCCAGAAUUUUUUGGGGAGUCAUCAUGCCCCAGUCUCCCCUACAACUAUGUCAUCUGGUAAAACACUGACAACGAGUAAGCGAGCGCACGAGAUACAAGAACCAGUCACACUAGGCAUCCGACCCCGAGCGAGCUUUAGCGAACAAAAAUUACGCACUCCAUCUUUCGUGCCAAUUCGAGAUUCCAGCAGCGAGGCGCUUCAAUGGCCAGCUAAUAACUUCGCCAUUUUGCGACAAUUGAUGAUAAGUAAAAUUUUCUUGUACUGUCGAAAUGUGGGUUAAAAUACACUCGAAAUUUUAAAAAGCUUCGUUAGUUAUCUCCCAUUAAAAAAAAAUAGCCGACAAUCAACGUUUCGCUUAGAAAUUAUCGUAUUUGAUUGAUUUAAAAAAAAAAAAAAACUUUUGUGCACUUUUCCCGAUCUUUCAUAUAGUAGCAUUUAAAGUACCCGGUUUUCACUUUGAACCGACAUGAAAAAUAUUUUUUCUCCAUUAUCUGACUUUAUUAUUGACCUUUUUUCGGCGUUACUUAAAUAUUUAGCUAUAUAAUUAUUGAUUGCUUUCAGUUUUUAACCAUUUGUAUACGAUAAAAGUACAGAAUGAAUAACAAAUAAUGAAUUAUUUUUAUGUAAACCAAUAAGAAAAAGCUAUGUUCCUAUUUGUACA